UUAGUGAACGACAGUGUAACUUUGCCUACUUUAGUUUAAUUGUUAAAUGUAAUCUAAUUAGUGGUAGAAACGUAGUUUGUGUGUACAAUGUUACAUCGUGUAUACAAUGUUACAUCGUGUAUAAUUGUUGCUGUUAGUAUGUUAGGGGGCUAACGUUAACUUCAAAUAUUACGUUUAACGUACCAUUAAAUAUUAACGUUUGUUAACGUGUUAACGUUAGUCCAUUGAAUAAUAAAAAACGAAUGUUGUUUGACUGGAAUUAUAUAAGAUACACAUGCAACACUAACCAUAUAUUUCUGUGAGUUUAGUCUUUCAGGAGAUUGUCUGAUAUCCAUUAACUUAUUGAUUCUUCUUUUAAGAUCUAUGUUCAGGUUUACAUACUGUAUAAUUCUGUUCCAUGGUGGGGGGGCACUAUUCUGUGUUCCAGUUGAAGUCCUAAGCAUGUGAAUGCAAAACACUUGGUUGUCUUAUUUAUUAUUAUUUUUUUAAUCUAUACAAAAUAUAAUGGAACUGUUCAUCAUUCCUUAUAACUUUUAGGCCUGGUUUCACAGACAGGGCUUGGAUUAAGCCGUAGUUAAAAUAGAACAUCGAAGUAGCUUUUAUAAGCAUGCCUUAGAAAAAAAAAAAACAUUACUGAUGUGCAUCUUGAGACAAAACCAUGGCACUGACAUAUUUUUGUUUUGUUUAUGAUGCCCAAUGGUUGCCAGAUGCUGUCCUGUCAGACAUUAUUCUUCAUGUGGUCCUGGAGGAGGGUGAUGCUGCAUUAUUAAAUCUGUCUCUGGUUUUGGCUUGACAGUGUAACAAAAUGGAGAGCCAGGAAUUCUUCAAAAUGUACACACUGCAGCCCUGCGAUGAGGUUUACAAGAACUGCUUACCAGGUCACUGUAGCCACCAGAUCCAGUCUGUAUCCAAGUCAG